UGAAAUUCCAAGAAAUAACUGAGGAAAAUGAGUCUGUGUAGCCUGAUUACAACUGUGAGAAAGUGUGUACCCUGAGGAAGAUUGGAGGGGCAUCAGGAUUAAAGCUGCCUCAGCCAUAAAGAGUUUACAAACUCUAAAGAAAGAUAAUAACUUCCCUUCUCACGGCCCGGUCAUGGGGAGGCAAUGCAUGUUUCCAAUCAGCUGAGAAUGUAACUCAAAUGGAACACUGAACUCCACUGUGUGGGAGCUUGAGGGGCCUGUGCUGCCCAUGCCGAGUGUCCACCAUCUCACACUGCUUCUAACACCUUCAAGCCAUCUCCUGAAUCUGGAAUAGUCAUCAUGAGCUGGAGGCUUCCUCAGAAGAACCCUAAAAUCAAGGGGGAUUCUGGUGCCAAGAAAAAUAGCCCAACCCAGCUUCACAGCUGUGAGCCUCCAAUGCGCCCCAGGAAGCUGCCAUCACCAUGGGUAGCGCGACCUGGCUUGAUUUUGCCAAAACAAAGGAAAAUUCCUCCAGCAAUUUCUGUGAAUUUGUUUUGCAAAACUGAAUUGUCUGCUUUUAAUUCCCCUAUACCAAUUAAAUAAAAAUUGGAAUUUAAAAUCCAGUGAA
rnacentral:lncRNA from 1 species